AUUGACAAAAAGAGCGUGAUCAUUUGUGUACAGCUGCAACCUCAACACCAGCUUUGUCAUCACUGUGAACCUCAGUAAAGACAGCCCAACCAUGGAUCAGAAAAUCAAUGAAUGCCCCACCACCACCUCCCCCCAGAAACAGAUGAAGAGUAGGUCCAAAUCCACCGAUGAGAUCCAGCACACCAAGAGGCUUUCAUCACAGAAAUCCCUUCCCGGUGGGUCUGACCUGGACAAAGUCAAGGAAGGCCCAGAAGGUUCUGAGACUCCCUCGUCCUCCACAGAGGAGCUGAAGUGAUGACGGCUGGGGUCCCUAAGGGAAAUAAGGCCAUGAACCUUCCAUCUGCUCAUUAAACAUGAACACAUACUGUACACACACAUAGACUCACAUACACACACACACACACACACACAGUCACAUCCCUACACACACUGAAAAAUGCAAACACUGAAUUGAUAAACUGAGUUGGUGGAAAGUCAUGUGAUAGACAUUAAUUCUGAAUGGUUAAGUUAAGGGUUAGGAUUUGGGAUAGGUUUAAAACAAAACAUUUAAAAUGUGUUUCUACCACUGGGAGAUAACAUGUAGCAUUCGGAUUCAGGGUCAUGGUAUUAUGUCCAUUAUGUCUCAUGGGAUUAUGUCCACACCGCUGUAGCAAAACCCAAGCCUACUUGUUAGUAAUAGUGCUCAUUUUGAAGUCAAUCUGCAGCGAUCUGCCUACACACACACACACACACACACACAAUGACAACAAGAACACAAGAAAUGGGCACAUGUGGUGAUCCUGUAUCAUUGUACUGUGAGUUAUCUGUACAUACCAAACUGAAUGUGCAUUCUUCACAAUAAAGCAGUGCUGUUGAGUGGACCCAUCUCUACAUUUUCCCUUAAAAUUUGUCAAAAUGCUGAGAAUAUAUAGGAACUGGGAUAUAGACAUUUCUGAGGGAAAAUAUGUGGUAGUCAACAUCAUGGUUUAUGAGGAGGGAGGGAAAGUUCAAAAGGGGAA
rnacentral:lncRNA from 1 species